UAAUUUCUUCCAUUCUUGGUGUACUCGUGUAAUAUCCCCAUGAUUUGUAAGAACUUGCACACAAUCUUACAUUUGACUAUAAGCUUAUAAAGAACUUAUUAGAAUGUACAUUUGUUGAUUUGUGUUUAACUGUAUACUUCUUUUUCCAGCAAAUCAUGUUAAAAAAGGAAUCAAUGGAAUGCUCAUUGUACUUUCAUUUAUUGAAUUAAUAAAUGGUUGCCUGAACUUUUGAUCAAUGUAUUUUGCAGUUACUGCAACUAGCCAUUCUUAAGAUCAAAGCGAUAUUGACUAAGCUGAAAAUGUUGAAAGCCAAUUUACGAUCCUCUGUCAAUUGCAUGUAUCGCUUUACCCAACUAAAUUAUAAAACCCGCUUAAGGGGGAGUGUCAUUGUAUUGAACAAUCAAUAUUGACAGAUGAGAGCGCCGGCCGCUUUAUGAGCGACAGCACUCAAAGGCAUGCAAUACCAUCAGUAAAAUCACGCAUAUGACAGGUGCGGUACUGUGUAAUUGCCAAAGAAAUCUUUGGAAGUUAAUUAGAAGACUGAUGAUUAGGGAUUUUUCAAGUCGGGAUUAUACUAUCUAUAUGGGAAAGGUUUAAAAUUAAUAAUAAAAAAAACCCAGUUUAUCUUGAUCUAUGCUUUUAUGGUUGUUGUUUUUAAGAUUCAUAGUGCACCAAAUGACGUCACUUCACUCUCAAAAUGUAUAUAUAAAAUAACGAAUUGAAACGAGUGGAAAAUUCUUAAAUACCCAUCCCAUCUGCCCUGAGGCAUCUGAUAAAGUUCCUGUGGAAAGCACUGAUUAACAGAUGUUGCUUAUUGUAAUGUGAAAAAGCUUGCACUUAACCAGUCAUUUUCCUGUGGAUUUUGACAAUUUAAAACGUAAGAAUUCAUAAAAGUGGUAUUAUUGCAUAUACGGUAAUAAUACCUCAUUAACUUUUAAUGACUUUUGCCUAAAGAAUUUACAAAUAAACCUGCAUAUGACGGCCGACUCAUUAUCUAUUAAUGACUUUUGCUAAAAGAAUAUACAAAUAAACCUGCAUAUUCCGGCGGACUCAUUACUAUUAAUGACUUAAGCUAAAAGAAUAAACAAAUAAAUCUGCAUAUCUGGUUGAUAUUUCCAUUCUAUAAAAUUAAUUGGUUUAUCCAAAAAGUAUCUGGAUAUCACAUACAAUUUAUUGUAUUAGGUACUACAGCUACUGCUGCUGCUGUUACCACUACUACUACCACUACUUCUACUUCUACUGAUACAACUACAUCCACUACUACUAUUACCACUACCACAACUACAAACUCUACCACUACUACUACCACUACUACUACCACUACUACUACUACUACUACUCCUACCACUACUACCACCACCACUACUACCACCACCACUACUACCACCACUACUACGACUAGUUAUGCCCCCCAUCGAAGAAGAGGGGGUAUAUUGCUUUGCUCAUGUCGGUCUGUCGGUCGGUCCGUCCACCAGGUGGUUGUCAGACGAUAACUCAAGAACGCUUGGGCCUAGGAUCAUGAAACUUCAUAGGUACAUUGAUCAUGACUCGCAGAUGACCCCUAUUGAUUUUGAGGUCACUAGGUCAAAGGUCAAGGUCACGGUGACCAGAAAUAGUAAAAUGGUUUUUGAAUGAUAACUCAAGAACGCAUACGCCUAGGAUCAUGAAACUUCAUGGGUAGAUUGAUCAUGACUUGCAGAUGACCCCUAUUGAUUUUGAGGUCACUAGGUCAAAGGUCAAGGUCACGGUGACCCGAAAUAGUAAAAUGGUUUUCAGAUGAUAACUCAAGAACGCAUACGCCUAGGAUCAUGAAACUUCAUAGGUAGAUUGAUCAUGACUUGCAGAUUACCCCUAUUGAUUUUGAAGUCACAAGGUCAAGGUCACGGUGACCCGAAAUAGUAAAAUGAUUUUCGGAUGAUAACUUUAGAACGCUUUUGCCUAGGAUCAUGACACUUCAUAGGUACAUUGAUCGUGACCCACAGAUGACCCCUAUUGAUUUUCAGGUCACUAGGUCAAAGGUCAAGAUCAUAGUGACAAAAUCGUAUUCACACAAUGGCUGCCACUUCAACGGACAGCCCAUAUGGGGGGCAUGCAUGUUUUACAAACAGCCCUUGUUAGUACAUUAUGUUGCUGUUGUCUUGUCCUUCGGAAGAUUUCAUAUUAAAUACCGAUGUUACACUUAUAUAUGUGAAUAGAAUUACAGUUCAUUCAAAAUACAAAUGUAUAAUCGA